GACGAACGCUGGCGGCGUGCCUAAUACAUGCAAGUCGAACGGAGCGGCUGACGGGUGAGUAAUGCCUAGGAAUCUGCCUGGUAGUGGGGGAUAACGUCCGGAAACGGGCGCUAAUACCGCAUCCUAUCAGCUGAGCCUAGGUCGGAUUAGCUAGGUGGUGGGGUAAAGGCCUACCAAGGCGACGAUCCGUACCUGGUCUGAGAGGAUGAUCAGUCACACUGGAACUGAGAAACGGUCCAGACUCCUACGGGAGGCAGCAGUGGGGAAUAUUGGAAAAUGGGCGAAAGCCUGAUGCAGCCAUGCCGCGUGUGUGAAGAAGGUCUUCGGAUUGUAAAGCACUUUAAGUUGGGAGGCGUUACCAACAGAAUAAGCACCGGCUAACUUCGUGCCAGCAGCCGCGGUAAUUC
rnacentral:rRNA from 1 species